rnacentral:lncRNA from 1 species
CUUAGAACCACAUAAGCAUCAUCUGCUGCCCACAGAGUAAUGACCCUUCAGCACCGUUUGUGGAGCCAAACUGAGAAGUGCGAGCUCUGCUCAAAGUGUGUCCACACGAGAGUGCAAGUGUGUGGAGGAGGAAGGAGACAGGAGAGAAGAGAGCCAGGUCAGCAGCUACAAAGCUGGUACCCAUCCCACUUGGGCUCAAUGGGGUUCAAAGACAGGUGAAUUUCGGCCAAGGCACCUCUCCAAAUAUUUGCUUUUGGUGACUGAGGCUGAGAUGAUUAUCGAUGCCAUGAAAAACAAGAUCAAAGGGAAGUCACUGUGAGUCCCUAAUCGUGGCAGCUCAGCAGCUCUGCUCUUGGCAUGACCUCGGCCAAGCACAGCUUCUGCUCAGUGACGGUUCUUGAUGCGCUUCUUGUGAAAUCGCCUAUGAGACAGCAACAAGGCUGUUUCAGAACCUCAGAACCAGGAAGCCAUUCCCUGGAAGAACAGAGGGAGGCUCAGUGUGGUUGCCCUAGAUGAGGGGAGAGAAGUUUCCAAUUUCCACAGAACUGUCCCCCAGCCUGCCCCUGUGCAUCUCUCUAGGG